rnacentral:rRNA from 1 species
GACGUAGGGCGCGAGCGUUGUCCGGAUUUAUUGGGCGUAAAGAGCUCGUAGGCGGCUCGUUGCGUCGGCUGUGAAAACCCGCAGCUCAACUGUGGGCUUGCAGCUGAUACGGGCGGGCUGGGAUUCGGUAGGGGAGACUGGAAUUCCUGGUGUAGCGGUGAAAUGCGCAGAUAUCAGGAGGACCACCCGUGGCUAAGGCGGCUCUCUAGUACGGUACUGACGCUGAGACGCGAAAGCGUGGGGAGCGAACAGG